rnacentral:lncRNA from 1 species
GGAGUUCUGAUGGGAUCUGGUGCAUUAGUGCUUGUAUGAUGGGUGCUUCGAUGAAGUUCGUGUUUUGGUGAUUCGGCUCCGAUCAACCUGUAGAGAAAAUAAUGGUGAUCACGGUGAUAUAAAAAUUGCAUUAAACGGAGGUCGGGAAGGGCCUCAUCGGAGGCAAAAAUCGAGAAGGGGCGCGGCGGCGCCACUGGCUUUCAGCC